GAUGAACGCUGGCGGCGUGCCUAAUACAUGCCAGUCGAGCGAACGGACGAGAAGCUUGCUUCUCUGAUGUUAGCGGCGGACGGGUGAGUAACACGUGGAUAACCUACCUGUAAGACUGGGAUAACUUCGGGAAACCGGAGCUAAUACCGGAUAAUAUUUUGAACCGCAUGGUUCAAAAGUGAAAGACGGUCUUGCUGUCACUUAUAGAUGGAUCCGCGCUGCAUUAGCUAGUUGGUAAGGUAACGGCUUACCAAGGCAACGAUGCAUAGCCGACCUGAGAGGGUGAUCGGCCACACUGGAACUGAGACACGGUCCAGACUCCUACGGGAGGCAGCAGUAGGGAAUCUUCCGCAAUGGGCGAAAGCCUGACGGAGCAACGCCGCGUGAGUGAUGAAGGUCUUCGGAUCGUAAAACUCUGUUAUUAGGGAAGAACAUAUGUGUAAGUAACUGUGCACAUCUUGACGGUACCUAAUCAGAAAGCCACGGCUAACUACGUG
rnacentral:rRNA from 1 species